rnacentral:rRNA from 1 species
UACGUAGGACGCAAGCGUUGUCCGGAAUCACUGGGUGUAAAGGGUGCGUAGGCGGGAAGGUAAGUCAGUGGUGAAAUCUCACGGCUCAACCGUGAAACUGCCGUUGAUACUGCUUUUCUUGAGUUUGGGAGAGGUCGAUGGAAUUCCAGGUGUAGCGGUGAAAUGCGUAGAUAUCUGGAAGAACACCAGUGGCGAAGGCGGUCGACUGGCCCAUAACUGACGCUGAGGCACAAAAGCGUGGGGAGCGAACAGG